AGUGGAAUUGCUGGGUUAUAUGACAAAUUUGUUUAACUUUUUAAGAAACUGCCAAACUGUUUUCCAAGGCGGCUGUGCCACUCUACAUUCCCACCAGCAAU
rnacentral:pre_miRNA from 1 species